AUUGAACGCUGGCGGCAGGCCUAACACAUGCAAGUCGAGCGAGCGGCGGACGGGUGAGUAAUGUAUGGGGACUGCCCGAUAGAGGGGGAUAACCACUGGAAAAGGUGGCUAAUACCGCAUACUAUCGGAUAACCCAUAUGGGAUUAGCGAGUAGGUGGGGUAAAGGCUCACCAAGGCGCGGAUCCCUAGCUGGUCUGAGAGAAUGACCGGCCAACUGGGAACGGAGAAACGGCCAGAACUCCUAGGGAGGCGGCAGUGGGGAAUAUCGCACAAUGAGGGAAAGCCUAAUGCAGCACUGCCGCGUGGGUGAGAAAGGCCUUCGGGUUGAAAAGUCCUUUCAGCGGGGCGGCGUUACCCGAAGAGGAAGCAACGGCUAACUCCGUGCCAGCAGCCGCGGUAAUUC
rnacentral:rRNA from 1 species